UACAGAGGGGGCAAGCGUUAAUCGGAAUUACUGGGCGUAAAGCGUGCGUAGACGGUUACAUAAGUCGGGUGUGAAAGCCCCGGGCUCAACCUGGGAAUUGCAUUCGAGACUGCGUAGCUAGGGUGCGGAAGAGGGAAGCGGAAUUUCCGGUGUAGCGGUGAAAUGCGUAGAUAUCGGAAGGAACACCAGUGGCGAAAGCGGCUUCCUGGUCCAGCACCGACGUUCAGGCACGAAAGCGUGGGGAGCAAACAGG
rnacentral:rRNA from 1 species